AUUCCAGCUCCAAUAGCGUAUAUUAAAGUUGUUGCGGUUAAAAAGCUCGUAGUUGGAUUUCUGUCAAAGGUGAGGUGGUCCAUCUUAUGGAUGUGUAUCUACCCAUGCCUUGGCAUCUUCUUCAAGAACGCUUUCGCGCUUCAUUGCGUGAUGCGGAAUUGAAGACUUUUACUUUGAGGAAAUUAGAGUGUUCACGGCAGGCAAUCGCUUUGAAUACAUUAGCAUGGAAUAAUACUAUAGGGCCUCGGCUUUAUUUUGUUGGUUUCUAAAGCUGAGGUAAUGAUUAAUAGGGAUAAUUGGGGGUCUUUGUAUUGCAACGUCAGAGGUGAAAUUCUUGGAUUGUUGCACGACAAACUACUGCGAAAGCAUUGGCCAAGGAUGUUUUCAUUG
rnacentral:rRNA from 1 species